CGGUGUCGUAUGAGUUUCGCAAGUACCAUGAGAUAUGCAAGUACGCAUGCGCGAAAAUGUUAUUUUCGUUUUCACACUUCCGGUAUGAGAUUUGCAAGUCGUUUGCUACGGUGUAUGUUGCCGGCAAAUUGGGUUAAACAUGGAGAAAGGUUGGGAAAUAAAAGAGGAAUCUAGAAACAGGACGAAAAUAUUACAACAGCAGAAGUGGAUAGUUAUGUUGAAUAAAGAGAAGAGAAAAGGGUUAUGACAAACAAGAAAGUUGGUGCCAAUGUAAAAAAAGCCCAGGCCAGACAAAAAAAAAAGACUACAAAAGAAGAAACACCAAGCAACGGUAUACAGAAAUUUCAGUUGGUGACAAAGUGUUAGUUCACAAUACCAGGAAGGCCAUCACGAAAAGAAAGGGCAACUUGGAACCAAAUUAUACCGGCCCGUACAUAGUGACUAAGUUUGAGGGAAAGCUGGCUAAUUUAAAGACCGUCUCAGGUGAUGAACUUAAAAAAAAAAUACAACGUUGAUCAACUAAAGGUUUUAAUCAGUCCAGAGACAGACGACCAGGAUUUCACAACAUCAACAUCAACCGGACAAGAGCCUCAGCCGACAUCUGGGUACAAGAGCAGUACACCAUACAUCAACCCAAAGGACCUGAAAACUAAAAGCUAUCUUCAACAGAUAAAAGCUGAUGGGUCUCUAAAACAGCUGAUUGAGAUUGUCGCAAAAAUGGACCUGUCAAAACCAACAAGCCUGUCAAAUUUAAGUAGGAUGCUGAAAGAAUGCCCAAUACAAAGUUUUGUGUC